CUCGAUUCAUGGUUCUGCUCCGGCGAUGUAUGGUCCGCCGGAUGCAGCCGGCGGCGCGGGAGUAGCGGCGAUCCGGAGACUUCCAGGCCAUGGCGCGCGGAGAGGGCAGGGGCGGCGCAGUGAGAAGGCAGGGGUGGGGGUGGGGGUGGGGGCGGCGGCGGGGCGGCGCGAAUCCGGGAAACGGCGUAUAAUCGUCAACAAAUCCCAAUCCAUGGCGAAGCAAGCUUACGCAACGAGCAGCCUGGUGAUUGGCUAUGCGCUGUGCUCCAGCUUGCUUGCCAUCAUCAACAAGUAUGCCAUCACAAAGUUCAGCUACCCUGGCCUCCUGACUGCCCUGCAGUAUCUGACAUCAGUGGUUGGAGUCUGGGUGCUCGGAAAGCUUGGCCUCCUCUACCAUGAUCCCUUCUACUUCCAGACUGCCAAGAAGUUUGCUACCUUGCUACCUCCUGAAGCAUGCCAAUGUCGACACCUUCAUAGUAUUCAGAUCCCUGACACCGCUUCUGGUGGCUAUUGCCGACACCACUUUCCGGAAGCAGCCGUGUCCUUCCAAGCUCACAUUCAUGUCCCUUGUCAUUAUUCUGGGAGGUGCAGUAGGCUAUGUGAUGACAGAUUCGGCGUUCACCCUCACCGCAUAUUCAUGGGCACUCGCUUAUCUGAUCACCAUAACUACUGAGAUGGUGUACAUCAAGCACAUGGUGACCAACUUGGGGCUGAAUACCUGGGGUUUUGUGCUUUAUAACAAUCUGCUUUCGCUGCUAAUGGCACCGGUGUUUGGGCUUUUGACAGGGGAGCACUUGUCAGUAUUCAGAGCCAUUGAAUCAAGAGGGCAGAGCUGGUUUGAGCUUGAUGCCUUUGUGGCAGUUUCAUUGUCCUGUGUGUUUGGUCUGCUCAUCAGCUUCUUUGGUUUCGCUGCAAGGAAGGCGAUAUCUGCCACGGCUUUCACAGUGACAGGGGUGGUCAACAAGUUCCUUACGGUUGCGAUCAAUGUGAUGAUCUGGGACAAGCAUGCAAGCGCGUUUGGUUUGGUUUGCUUGCUCUUCACUCUUGCUGGUGGAGUGCUCUAUCAGCAGUCAGUUACAACAAAAGGUAAUUCUCCAGCACAGCGAGAGGCGGCAGCUAAGCAAGGUAGAGAAGAUGACACGGCCGAAUUGGAUGAGGAGAACCAAAGGCUGGUUUCAUCUCCAAAGGUUGUCUGAGGUAUAUGGCCCCUAGAGAUAUCAAGUUUUGUUCGUCUGUCUGCAGUAGGCACUGUUUCUAAAGGUCAUAUUACUCUAGGAAAGUCAAGAGGUAGCAUUGUUGUUGUAGAAGAAAUUCUGGCCUGAGCUCACAGUUGCAUGUGCACUCUCAGGCACUGUGUAUCUGUAUACCAGAGUCACUAUGUACAACCUUCCUGACAUUUUACAUAUUUUAGCAGUGCUAUUAAGCUUCAUGGUUCUGGUAUGAGAUUUUA